CUGGCCAAUAGGCUGUAAAUCUUGCCUGGUGUUUUGUAACAAAGGAAAAAAUAGAAUGAUUUGUGUUGACUUUUGGUCAUCGUGUAUCAUUAUCGAUCCGGGGGAGGGCGGCGAGAAGCGCGUACCGCGGAUCUGUUGCUCGCCACUUCUCCGGGAAGGCGGCGUGAGCCAGCAGUCAGUAGAGGGCAAUAGAGAAAUACAGUUUGUGAUGCCUAAAGGAUUUGAAGCCCUGAUUAUGUGUUUACAGAAAAGAAAAAGAAGAAAAGAAGAGCCAGGAGGAUAGGUUGUUCAGUUUACUACCGGAGACCUGACUGUGACAGACCACCAAGAAAACAAAAUUUAUAAAGAGAGUAAAGAAGACCUUCUGCAGCAUCAGCAAGUCUCUCCUUUUUUCUUCAGAGUUACGUAGGAUAACUUAGCCAGAACUUAUUGAUGUCUGCAUGUUCAGUGGACUCGGGAACGACUGGGAGAUGCGGAAACAUACUCUUUGGAAGAAACAGAAGAGGAGGCAUUUCAAAGAUCCUGCAGGUGACAAAGGUCCUUGUAAAACAUACAGGUACGGCUGCUCUGCUCUGGUUUUGCUUCAGAGGAAGAACAAACCUUGAGGAAAAUGGAAAAGGAGCACUGCAUGUUUCUGCUGCCUCUCCUGACUCCAGGGCCAAUGAAGGUUGUACCAUUUUUGAGAACCACCCUAGAAUGCCUACAAAACUGAGCAUGUUUAGAGGCAUCUCUUGCCAACAAAUCUGUGCACUUGGUUUUUUCCAUGGACUGUAGUCUGGAAUUUGGCAAGCCUUGGUAAUCUUUCCUGGAUGAGCAGUUGGAUUAUUCACCAAUUUUUUUUUGGAGCUGGAGUGAAAAUAAACAUGAGCUUGGAAUGCUGGGUGCCAGCUCAAACCCAGACUUCCCCAGUGUGAGCCCAGAACGGAGAGAUAUAAUUUGGCCCCUUUUGGAUUAUGAUCCUGUGUCAGAGUGACGUUUUGAGUCUGAUUGGCGUGAAGUGUGAUACUCAUGUGAUGAUCUGCUGACAGAAUAAAUAAAUUGUAGAAAGUGCCAAGACUGUUCAGGCAUUUGCUGUAAUAUCACUCCCACAGGAGGAACCUUCAUCACAGUCUUUCUUCAAGUAUGUUCUCUCCUCUGGGUUCAUUAUUUUGCAGAGGAUGGGUCUUUCUGCACUGCAGGGAUCUAUCUAUCACUGCUGACUCUCUGCAUCUUCUCCACAUGGAAGAAGUAAUUGGAUUGUAUUUUCUGCACACGACCAAGACAGCAGGGAAACCCAGAGCUGUAAGCCAGAGAACCAAGCUGUCUAGAGGGCUGGGCCUGGGCCUCACCAGCACGCCUAAUAAUGUCAUCAGGACUAAGGACAUGAGGAUGACGAGGUGUUCCGCACCCAGCAGUGAAACCAUGCCAGUACAAAGAUCUAAACCAAAAGUGACUGGACCUCAGACAAAGGAGGAGAAGGGAAGUGGUUGAGGUCUCCACACAGAUGUCUGAUUACGAUUCCACCAAGGUGAAUUUGAAACUGUGUCACAGCUCAGCCGCUUCUCCCCAGUGCCUGUGGAGCCAGCUUCCAGCGUGACACAUCCCAUCUUUGACUCACCAGGUAAGUAAGGCUGGGAUAUCAGUAUGAAAACUGGGCAAAUAUUGACUUCUUUUGACGUACAAUAACUUUGUUGUACCUAUGAUACAAUAUAUUUAUGUAAUGUUUUCAGCUUAUGCAUGACUAUGGGCUGGAAUUAGUAGCUUUUGAAAGAUAAUGCUGAAGAAAGGAAUGUCAGAUACUGUGCUGGGGUUUAGAAAACUGACCACUAAUCUAAUGUUUUCCAAUAAGCCACUCUGAUUUACAGCACAGAAUAAAAGUUGUCUCAAGAAGUAAGUGAAAUAAAAUUGUGCUUCAAGACAUAAACAAGCUUCAUGAAAGUUUGGGAUAGGAACAAUAUCCCCUUCUGACACAUUACUUUAUAACUGCAGAAUGUGAAACUGCUUGCAUCAUUCUCUGAAGGAUCUAGUCCUGGCAGUUUUAGAUACUAGGUAAGUAAUUUUUUAAAUUUAUAGGUUCUCCAACUUCUUUCAAUGGAUAUAUAGGUUUUCAAGGAUAUUUUACACAGGUCAAUUGCUAUGUAGAGACCAAGAGCUUCAUUUCCUCAAUCACAUUUCAAGAUCACAUUAGAGGGAAUUCACAGAUGCCCAGGGACUGAUGAACCACAUGAGGAAAACCAUGAGACAACUCAGACCAGGAAUCGGAUUCUGUCUGACAGUUUUCUACACCUGAUGUGUCUAAAUCAAUGCUUUUUUUUUAAUUUUUUUUUUCUUAAUUGCAGAAGUCAUGCUUCAAUUCAGCUAGAAAAUAGGAACUUAAGGAAAGAGCUUGAAUGUCUGUGGCAAACCUAUAAGGAUGGACAUACAACAUGGUUGUAAAGUUUAAUUCUAGACUGAAAAUCAAUGAAUAGACAAAGAUUCAUGUUUCUAAGAAAACAAAGGCAUAAAUCUACAGCCAUUUUGAGGAAUGAUGUGCAGAUUUCUCCUGAGGGACAUACAAAGAAGGCCCACACCUACAGAAAGGCUGUCCCAAGAUUAUGUCACCUAUAUGUAUCAUGAAGGAAUUUUCUUCUUGGCUGCUCAGAGGAGGAUUUUUAACAUUUGCCUCCCAUUUAUUCCACAACAUUUCGUUGCUGAGUAACUUGUACUUCUUUACACCAUUUUAAUUUGAUGGCAAGUACAAGUAAUGCAGAGACCUUUCUUUCCUAAGGGAAAUUAAGAAAAUAAUUCAUUCUUUUGCUCAGUAACUCAACUGAAUUCAAUUUGGGUUCAUUCUUUUAGGAAAGGUGUUUAUCUAGUUCUGUCAAAUUAAAAUAUGGAAUGAAAAAUGUCAAAAAUACUGACCAUCUUGUCAUCACAAUUCUUAGUUCUUUCAUGCCAUGCUUCCUCCACAGAGAAUUUUAUUUUGAAGAGGGAAAAACUAACAUAAAAUCUUAGAAGGUGUAAGUCACACCUGUAAUUUCUGCAUAUUACUAAAUACCAACACUAUGUGCAUGGCACAAUGCUUCAGCAAACCACAUUGAUUUGGCUUUCUGAGCUCAUUUGUAAGAUUUUAAUUUUAUUUUUUUUUCUUAUAUUUACUUCGGUGUAUAUUUGCCAGAUGAAUUGUAUGCACAGAAAAAGGUGUAAUAAAGGGGCAGGAGUAUCAGCUGCAUUAUGUGUCCCUGAGAGACAGAGCAAAAACAUUAUUUGGAAAUUUCUGUGGCACAGAGCCCUGCUGGCAGCUGCUGAUCUCAUUCCUUUCCCUUACAUGGGGCUGUUAACACGAGGACACAUAAGGGAAUGGCUGAGGACUGGAGAGGCCAUGACUAAAGUGAAUAUUGAUUCUCUUUUUCCUUAGUGUGGCUGCCUGUGUAGAAAACAUCGAUCAGUAGUGCAGCCUGAGUGAAGGCUGAAUGAAUUAAUGGAAGACAGAACCCUCUCGGAGCUACUGAAUACACAGAAAAUCAGCCUGGCUCGGGAUCUGUCCGGGCUGCAAGUACUUUGCAGUAGGCUGGGCUGCUUGCGACUCUCCGCUCUCACGCUCCUCGUUCCAACAUCAGCUUUUGGGCGUUAGCAUUAGCUGUUUUUAUUUCAUUAUGCUUUUAUUUACUGUUGGCAGGAGAGGAGGACUGGAAGCUGCCCAGAGUGCUGGCUGCAGCCACCGACAGACCUCUUUUUCCCCAGGGCUGGCUGCAGCACAGAAUUGUCGGGAGCUGAGUGUGUUUCAUAUCCAGAGCAAAUUUUCCAAAGUGCCUAAAUGGCUUGAAACUGCAGGUUCUGUUGGCCAAGAUCAAGUAACUUGCUUGGGCAAUGGCUUCCAGUUAGCCUUCUUUUUGUCUCUCUCCCUAUGUUUGUGCAUUUUCAUUUAUGCAGAAAUCAUUUAGCUCUUCUUCCUUUUAUUUAAGCAGGCAAGGAACAGCGAGCUUCAAAACUGCAGAAUUCCUUGAAAUCUUUUAGCUUCAACUAUUCUGUCUCUGAUAGAAAAACGUGUAUUUGCUUUUUAAUUCUCAGUCACUUUAACUGGUUCUGGUAACUUUGUACCCACAAGCACAGAACACUAGAUGGAUAUACUGCAGCAAAACGAGUUACAUGUUGUAUUUAGAAACAAGUACCUUUAAAAUAUUUACCCGUCUGCCAAGACUUGGAAAAAUGAGAAAGCAAGUUCAGCUCAGUACACAGAGCAGUUCCUCACUGCCUGACUCUCCUCAUGGCUGCUGGGAAUGCCUGGCAUGUCAGGUAACACAUGCUGAGCAAGAGCUAAAAAGCCCUUCGUUGCUUGUAAAAAUGAAAAAAGCUCCUUAUUGGAAAACAGCUCUUUUCAGAGGCAUUACAGCUGUGGAUGAUGCUGUAGAUAUACUUCUCAGCCAUCAGGCAGAGUGCCCAGCAGGGACCAGAUUUCAGCAGUGUCAGUAGGUAAGAUGUGUAACAGUGAUAAGUCCAGUUGUCUUGUACCAGAGCAUCCUGUUUUUCUUUAUACCUACAUUGCAAAAACAACACAUGCUAACAGCAUACAUUUACAUGAAACAAGCAAUGAUUGAACAUACCUAUUUAAUUGUUCACCGCCACCUAAGUCAGGAGAGUCACCCUGGGUCACCCUGCACUGUUCUGAUGUCCCGUUCUCUCCUGACACAUCUGCAGCUCUGCUGUUUCAUGUUAGGAGACCUUUCAGUUUUGGCUUUGCUCUGCCAGUAGCAUCUGGUGCUGUUCCCUUCUGCUGUGACUGCAACUGGCUGCUCCUUCCUGAGGGAAAUAGAUGAUUUCUUGAGGCUGUGGUGAUCUGGUCUGGGAGGUGCUGUACAGUCUCAGAUAGGAGGUCUCGACUAGCAGUCUCCUGUCUGUUCAAGAGCUUACAAGCUGAAUGCCUUUGUAACCUCCUCUUGGACUUGAGGGUGGCACCAGGUGCUGGGGCUCUUUCACACUGCAGGGUUUGUAACAUCUGGCUGAUGCCAUGGGUUAUAACAAAAAAUGACACCAUGCACAACAAACAUCUCCAGGGGUUUCUCCAACUUCAGUCUCUAAUCUCUCAGGCUUCCUGUGCCCUGUAUGUGUCUAUAAUGCUUUAGAAAUGACAGCUGCAGAGAUUUUGACAUUGAGGAUCCAUGUGAAGCUGGUGCAGAGGCUGGUAAGAGGCUGCCCUGACCCUCUGGGCCCAGGAGUGUCACAUUCUCUCUGCAUUUGAACUGCAAGUGGAGAGGGCACAGAAGGGUCAGACAGAUAUCCUUAUGAUCCCACUUUCCUCUGUGUCACGGGACUUUGUGCACAACUGGCAAUUAUAGAUGUAGCCCUGAAACUCACACCAAGCUUCUGACCUGUUCUCACACACUAUUUUAUGCAGCAUGUCAUGUCCAACAUGACUGUAAUGUCUUCUGUCUUACUCACAUCCAGCUCUGUCUCCUGCUUUUUUUAACUUCUCUCCCAGAAAUUUUUCUUAGGCAGACUCUUCUUCCAUUAUUCAGACUCAGAUCACUUUUCACCACUGUUUUGUUCCACAUCAAAGCCUGUAACCUCACCCCUUUGCAGUUAGGGCUCCCAAAAGCCUAGAAAGCUGCUCUGAGGAAGCUGGUCUCUGCAGCUGGGGCAAUGAGCUGGGGUGGCUGUACAUGUUCCUGUUAUUGAGAGCAAACAGACUUGUCCAUACUGUUUGAUUUCUUUCUCCCCAGGGAUUUUGCUGGGCUAUCUCCCUGUCUGUUCACUGUUUUUUCCCCUGUCUGACAGUGUUUGCUGUGGGCAGUCAUGCUUGGCCAGAGGAUAAUGCUCCAUGGCUCUGCUCAGGCAAGCCUGUCUCCCACAUGUUCAGCGUACGUUGUGUAAGGAAUGUCAGACCUUUGCUGGAACUACUGGGUGGCUGCUUAGGAGAAAUGCUGGGAGUCAGCACAGGCACAUCCCACAGUUCCCACUGUGGGCAGUAGGUUGUAGUGAUUGCCAGAGCUCCCUUCUGGGCUGUAAAGGUUUUGCAAGCAGCCCUUCUGCGUGGUAUUCUGUGCAGCAUACCCAGCUUGCUGUACUCUAGAGACAUUGCUGGGCCCUACCCUCUCCUCACCUGAGAGCUUUGGAGGCCCAGCAACAUGUGUUAUACUUGUCUGUGCGCUCAGCAGUGACCUCUUUGUGAUGCUGGCUGAUCUCUCAAGGGCUGGAUCCAUUUCUCUCAAUAAUUUCACUUGCACUCUGGAAUCCCACUAGCAGCUCUUGUUUUUAAUUAAGGGCUCCAUAAUGUCUCCAAAGAUAUGCCUAGUGUCAGAGAUCUUACAUCUGAAACAUAAGGCUCAAUUGCCUCAUUUUUUUAUUUUUGGUUUUGAGCACAAUUACUGAGUCCCUCUACAAUCUUAUUCUGUCCAGGUCAAGUCUACAAAUAAUUUUCUUGAUGGUUCAAUUGUUCCAAGUAUUAUUUUAAAAAUAAUAAGUGACUCUCUCAGGUCACUUCUUGUCCUUUUUGCUCAGUGAGACAGUGAAAAGUUUUAUUUCCAUGUUUUCUCACUCUCUGUCAUGGCCAAGUCCAUGUAUCAAUUCCCUGCUCACAUGAACAUUUCAAACCAGCUUUUUGAGCUCUCAGUGACCCAAAUGCCUUCUGGCUGUUUGCCUGCUUCAUUCCCAGGCUGUCUUUCUGUGUCCACUGCACUGGCUGAUGACAAACUCUGUCCCACCUCUCAGAAAGGGACAGCGUAUCUCCAGCUGCAGAUCAUCCCUUUGGAUUAGUUAAUAAGAGAGAAGUCCUGUUAGAAUCUGUAGCAAACAUCCCUCAGGUAGCUGCAAUAAAUGAGGAAAUGUUUAAAGGUGAGCUAUGUCCUAAUAUCACCUGUUGGAAAGGACUUUAUGUUUCAUAUAUUUCAUAUUAUUGCUCUGAAAGACUAAACGCAGGAGCACAUUACCAAUUGAAGUGCUUGUGGAAAUUAAAUCCAUGUUUAAAUGAAUUUGAAACUUUUAAUGCAAAAUUGAGCACUUAGAAAUUUUGCAUCAACUCCUACUUAAUUAAAAUUAAUAAGGUUUCAGAGAGUUUUAGUUGGGAUAGAUGAGGAAAGAAUUUGGCCUUAAAUGUGUAAUUAAAAUACAAUUACUUUGGAAGGAAGUAAUUACUGAGGUUGUACCUCAAAAGCAUACCUAAUGGGCUAUCAGGAGAAAAGGUUUAUGUGUUUGGUUCACCAGCUAUACUAGAUAUAAAAGGAUGCAGUCACUGAAAGAAAGAGAUAUUAGCAAGAUCAUUUAGGUAGAUAGUAGCAGCUCUUUUAUGGUCAAAUCAUUCUGGCUACAUUUAGAAAGGAGACUACUUCAUCUUAGUUUGGGGUGUGCAAGCACCUCCACAGGUUUUCCUUCUGACAUGUUUAAUUGUUUCCCAGCCCUCUCAUGGGCCUGUGAGAGAAGGAAGCAUUGUUAAACCAGUGUCAAACAUCUCUGGAUGAGGGAAAAGUUAGCACUGAAUGACCUCAGCUGUCUGAUUUUAGGAACUAUUUGACAAUGGAAUACUCAAAGUGAAGGGCCUAAUCUGACCCUGGUUAAAACCAUGGAGGGAACGCUCCUCUUGGUCCCUGCACUAGUCUGCAUGAAGCCCUGAGCAUGGAACCAGAAUUGUGGUGUCAGUUUUGCAUAAACCUAAACUUGGUUUUGUUUUUACAUUAUUGCCCUGGCACACCUAUGAAAAAUGGUUUAAUAAAUAUGACAUUCCACAACAUGCACAAAACAGACAGGCUUGGGAGUUAAAGCUGAAGCGUGAGCAUUAAAACUGAAGUCACUUUGUGCUCUGUGGAGACAGAACAAUCCAUCAUGCAUUUGAUUUUUUUGUUUUGUUUUGUUUGGCUAUUUUUCUUUUUUUGGGUAAUGUGAUAGGUUUUGGUUUUGAAGUUAGUGGUGUGGUUUCUGUUGACUGUACUGGAGUUUGGAUUAGGUUCAUGGAAAUAAAUGGAUUAUAUUUUAUAAUAAAUGGUAUAGGUAGUCAAAGAUGCAAGGUUCACAGUCCCAUUUGGAUCAGAUCCUUUUCAAAGGUUCAGAGUCACAGAUUGCAUCGAAUUUCCUGGAACACCUGGGUGUAACAUUCAGCUUAAAUCAUAUCAACAUGAUUUGAUUGCAAGGUUUUGAUUUAACCUUGUUUCUUCACAUAACUUUCUGAGGUUUCUAACUGUGAUUUUUACAAGUACAGUGUGUUUUGUAAAAGAAGUGUGGGAGAGGAAAUAUACCUGUCUCUGCUAUGCAGUGUCCCCUUCGAUACAUUAUCAAACAUAGUGAAAGUAGCCUGAUGUUUUAAUCAACAGAUACAUGUCCUUGGCAAGGAAGUGAAUUUAGGAUUUAGUGAAAUGCACUCUGCUGAACUGUUGACACUCAGUUCAUAGUCAAACUUGUAUUGAUAAAGAGGAACACCCGCCUUGUAUUGAAGAUUUAGCUCAGUAAAAUAAAAGUUGGUUACAGUAAUUUCUCUCUACCCUUACAUUCCCUGCAGCAAUGCUUGUUACAUGGGUAAGUAACACAUGGAGAGUUUGACUUAGCAUUUUUCACACCAAAACCAGAUGUCUUCAGUAAUACUCAACCAGGAUAUUUUUCAAACUUGUUUUGUUUUGUUUUUAAUGCAAUACGGAAGAUGUGGGAUUGUCAGUGUUGUGGUACAUCGUCAUCUAAAAUGGUUUCCAAGUUAGAGCUCCCAAAGAAGCCUGAGAAAGGAUGUUUCAUGUACAACAUUAUCAGCACUUGUCAACAGGGCAGGACUGAGUGAAGUCAGCCUUCUGUGGCUGUAAUAGCACAAGAGCUUCCUUGCCUUCAAUAGUUUCUUUCUUUUUCCCCAGGGUCGUGUAGCAACUAACACCUGAAAAAGCAGCCUUUAUAUCUUCCUCAAGCUAAUUAAAUACAGAUUCAAGCCGAGGAGCAAUAUUGCUAAGUGUCCUUUUGUUACCUUGUUAGUCUCUGAAGAUUCUCACAUUUCAGUCUUGACUGACCUAAGUGGCAGCAGAGUUCUCAGCCAUAGAAACCACAUCUGGAGAAAAUUCCACCUCUCAAAAUCACAAAGCUCUUAAGGAUUUACACGGAGUGACAUUAACUACCAGGAUCAAAUAAAUGUAGCAAAAACAUGCUCCCAAUCACAGAGGUCACUGAAGAGCCACACAGGUUUGGCUUACGCUGAGUUUUGCCUUUUUGUACCCACAUGAAACAUUUUUUUUAACGGUUCCAGAGUGGGGGGAGAAAUUUAUAAGAGAAACUAAUGGCUUGAAGUACACAGCUGAGACAGGCAAAGACUAUUGCUUAUGUCUGCACAGCAUCAAUAGCAGCAUAUUUUGAGUGUGAUUUACCUCCUGUAAUCUUCGGCUUCCCCCCAGACAGGGCCACUGGUGGAGCAGGUGCUGUCAAAAGGAGAACAUCAUGACGGCUGAGCCCUGCUGGAUGUGUUCAGAGUCUGGAUGGAGGCCAUUCAAGCCUUUUCACCUGUAUUUUAUACCAAGUUUGGAACAAUGUGUUUUAGUUGAUACGGUGGUGUUUGGCCAAAUGUUGGACUCAAUGAUCUUCAAGGUCAUUUCCAACCCUAAUGAUUCUAUGAUUCCAUAAAUACAGGUACUCACUGACACACAUCUGUGCCAUUCAGUUUACAGGAUUGUCCAGGUGCUAAGGGUUUGUAUUUUGUAUCCUUUACACAGAUUAAAAGACUUCUUCUAGUCUUUAAAAUUUGUAACCUGUGUAACUAGACUGUAUGAAGUGUUUAUGUCUGAGAAUUUCAGGAUUUGGCAACAGUUUUGCACGGGGACAUGGGAUAGUGCUUACUUCCUUUUUUUCUUAUUUUCUUUUACUUGUUAAAGGCAAAACACAAAUCUGUGCAUUUUAAAGCAGCUCUCUGAAAUUUCAUGGCUUUAUAAUUGCAAUCUAUCGGACUGAAAACUAAAUCUAAAAUUAGACAUAAAAAUCACAAUAUUACCAGUCCUGGAUUUAAGGCUUAUAUCACUGUGAAUUUCUACGAAAAUAUUUAAGAAUCAAUUUAAAUGCUAAUGGACUUGUUUGCCAUAAAACUAGGCAGUAGUCAUAAUAGCUGCUUCACAGCCAUAGUAUGGGUCUUUCCUUCACAGGACUUCACUUGUGACAUUAAAUUUAGAGAUGUUGCUGUGUAUCAUAGACCUAUGCAAAAGGGAGGAGGGUGGAGGGGGAGGGGGUGGUUCUCUGAAACCCUGCAGAAAGCAACUUCUCAAAACCUGACUUUGCUCAUGUGGACUUUGAAAAUCUGACUGUAGAGCCAGACACAAACUUGUGUAAUCCCGAGGCAGAGUUAGAGGCAGAAGUACCUGUCUCUUCCUGCCCUGUAGCUGGUGACUUGCUGUGGUCCCCAGCUUUGCCUGUGGGAUGUCCUCUAUAUUCAGACUUCAAAACUGGAUCCAUCUGCCAGCUUUGUGCCGUUCCUUUGGGCUGAACUUUUUGGAGACCACAGGCGCUUCCCACUCUGGGUGGUGAUGGGGUUACAGCCCAUUAGAGGCUCUUUCCAUUUAAAUUGGGACCAGCUGCAUCAUUACUUCUGAAAAGCACAUUCUGUGACCUCUAUCACACCAUCUAGGCCAGGGUCUGAGACCGUGUGAUAGAAGGGAUGGUGAGGUGGCUCCUUUGGCCAGCACACAACCAGUGACCUUGUUAAACUUUUGAUAUGAGGGCCUGGGAACAGCACCUUCCCACACAUUUUUUGAAGCAGUCACUGGCAGUGCUGUACAAGCAAAUGGCCCUGGGUCAGGCUAUCCACACAGACCUGGAGCAUCUCUGUUCACAGUCACUACCAACUCAUUCCUGAGCUGAUGAAAUCAAGUCUGCUGUGAGGCUGUGUCCUGUGUCCAGGCUCUCCAAUGUCAAGAGAUGACUUGGUGUAGGUUGCUGGCUCUCUGCUGUCCGGCUUUCAUCUCUGCUCAAUUUUCAGGCAUAUCCAUUGGAUUCGUCCAUGUGACAAAACUAAGAUGUGGCUAUGGACACACUGUCAUGUAUACAAGCACAAGACGGUGGUGACCCCUUACCCCAUUUUGGCCUGUGGUGACCAGCACUCAUCCAGCAAUUCCUGGACAUGAGAAAAAGACCUGUGGAUUUCCUUCAGCUCUCUGCCAAUAUCUACAUAAAAACUCUGGAUACAUAAAAACAUGUGGAUAGAGCACCAAAAGAAGCACUUUUGACCCUUUAUUUCAUUGUUAGCAAUUGGGAGCACUGUUACUGCUCAGAAUAACAGAGAUACUCAAAGUGUGCUGGAUGCUGGUGGGCAAGACUCAAGAGCAUGGCUCCAGCCCUGGGUGAGCAUGGUGAGGGACAGUGGGACACCUCAACAGGUGAAGAGACUCAGAUCUGGGCUUUGAUGAAUAGUCCUACUCACAGGCUCCUACUCACUGAAGCCCAGAUGUAGACCUCAUGUCUCAAAUUAUCCCUCUUAAAAAUAAUAUUCCUAGGAUGUUUGGACCGAAGAAACAGCAGCAAAUAGCUACAAUUCUGCAAUCCUUUUUCUUAAUGCACACAGUAUUUCAUGACAUCUCAGAAGGGAACUUGGAUGCUAAAUUCCCAUUUCCUUUACAAAGGCUGUUGCAGGAAUGCAUUGGUGGAGUGAUAAUGAAAGCCAGCGGAUCAUUUCAUCAUUUUGACUUCCAGGGUGGCAAUAAUAAAGCUCUGGGCUCCUGUUUCAUGCUGUUUCCAAAUGAACAGCACUUCUUUUGCAGCCACUGAGCUGGAGAUUUGCUGCAUCAUGCUGUCCUGGAAGCUCACCAAGAGAUUGAGAACCACUCUGGAUUUUUUCUUCCGCUCACAUCUUUACUAGAAAUAAAAGUUUUACAGGCCAGAUCCUGGAGUAGAAGUUUCCUUGCCACCAUUCUACCUGUUAGUCAUGAGCAAGUCCACUUCUUCCAUAACAGAAUCAUGGGAUGUGGUGCUAAGAUGAACAGGAAGCAGCAAAAGCUAUUUUAAUUACCAAAGAUAGAACACAUUUGGAGGACAGAUAUAAAAUCUACUGAUCUCAGUGGAAGCCUUUUCCCACUGAACUAAGCAGGCUUUUGAUCAGAUCCCCAGUUAAGGAAAAUGGUGUUUCUGCUAUUUAGCUCUUCUUCACUGUAGGCUGAUCAACCUCUGCCUUUGUUGCUCAUAUCAGAGUUGGCCCUCUGACCAGCCUGGGCAGAAACACUGGCUUCUUGACUUGGCUGGUCAUUCUGCCUUUUGCUUCACCUCUCCAUUUCCUUGCUGCUCUUCCUGGUUGCUCUAUGCUCUUUUUGGUGACUCCCAGGAGAAGAGACAAAGUUUUACAGAGGGGCAGUGAAGCUGAAAUGGCUGCUACUGAGAAAGAAAUCCCUGGGUCUUCACAGCCCUGCAGAGUUGCUGAAAAGUACAAUAAAGAUGAGUGUGGUGAAGAAUGUAUAAGAAUGGAGAUUGCUUUAAAGGGCCCAUGAGAUUGAUAUUGCUCACAAACCAUGAGACACCACCUCUCUAAGUGGCAGGAACUGUUUCUCCACUCUAAGAGAUCCUUAUCCUCCUCAGGACAUCUGCAGGAGACCAUUUCUGUAAAUUGCAGUUCAAAAGUCUGUCACCUGAUGCGACUCCUGGGGCAAAAGCAGCACCACUUCAAUGCAAUCCCAGCAUGAAAAAGUUAAUAAAGUGUAUGUCACUGAGAAACCAAUUGUACCUGCAAGUUAGGUAAAGGUCACACAUGAAUGCGUGAAAACUGGACAUGCUACAUAAACUGUUGAUUGAAAUCUCCUUUUCACUCGUAUGUGACCACAUUGAGUACAAACAGGAUCAGGACACAAAGAAAAAUAAGACUGAAAAUUUUUCAGAUUAAUGAACUUUCGCUAGAUUUUCUUUCACUUUAUUUUUUCCAUGGUACACUGGCUACUUAGAUGUUAGGUGGGCUGGAGAUACUUUCUCAUUCUUCUGGUAAUUAAAAUAUUGAGACCAAUGUUAUGUACAGAAGAAAUAAAAUAAUUUGGGCUACUGGCUUCUUCUUUCAUGAUGUGAAAUUCUGGAAGAAUUUGAUGGCCUCUCCUCUGAAUUUCAAAGCAGAUGUUACUUGGUGCCAGCAGUUGGAUCAGUCUGUGGUGUAAAUGAUGGUGAGCACAGAGACAGUGCUGUUGAUUUCAUUACGGCAGCUCCUAUAACACUGUGUCAUGUGCUUUAUGGUCUUAAAAA